CUAAGUUAGAAUCAGGAGAGCCCUGGAAGACGUUCCUUGGACGUUUUUCGUUCUGCUGUAAGACGCCCAUAACGUGAUAUCAACCAAAAUAAGAGUCUCUGGAAGGAGUUGGUUUUGGUUUUGCUCUUGCUCUGGGACGCCCACAAGCUGAUAUACAAUGGUAAAGCCUCCCAGCAGCUCAUUAAAGAUGGACGCUGUUCUAAUCACUGGUGCAGCUGUGUUCUGGAACUCAGGGUGGUGAUCGCUCCCUCUUUUCACUUUUGCCUUCUUUAUUUAGCAGAUAUCCUAACCUGCAAUGGGGUAAUCAGGAAGAGUUAAGUAAUUACAGAGUGCCUUGAUGCCAAAACGCUCCACUGUGCCCAAAUUACUGCAAAAGGUACAGCCUGGCGGGAAAUGUUUUUCCGUUCCUCAAAUUUAAUUAAUCAUAAGCGGACUGGCUGUCACCCUCUCCCUGA